rnacentral:rRNA from 1 species
GGUAGCAGAGAAGCUUGCUUCUCUUGAGAGCGGCGGACGGGUGAGUAAAGCCUAGGAAUCUGCCUGGUAGUGGGGGAUAACGUUCGGAAACGGACGCUAAUACCGCAUACGUCCUACGGGAGAAAGCAGGGGACCUUCGGGCCUUGCGCUAUCAGAUGAGCCUAGGUCGGAUUAGCUAGUUGGUGAGGUAAUGGCUCACCAAGGCGACGAUCCGUAACUGGUCUGAGAGGAUGAUCAGUCACACUGGAACUGAGACACGGUCCAGACUCCUACGGGAGGCAGCAGUGGGGAAUAUUGGACAAUGGGCGAAAGCCUGAUCCAGCCAUGCCGCGUGUGUGAAGAAGGUCUUCGGAUUGUAAAGCACUUUAAGUUGGGAGG